rnacentral:lncRNA from 1 species
UUGAAACAUACCUGAACAGAGACCCGAUACUACAUGAGAGAGAAGAAAGGAUCGAAUACCAUUAAAGAAGAAAAUUUGAGAAUGCCAAGACGAAGAAAAGGAGAAUGAGGGGAUGGGAGAAUAGAAACCGUCGCUAACUGCGUGAUUGCAGGAGAGUCCGCGAAACCUCCAUCAAAACUGCAGCUUCUAGAAGAAAAUUUUGAUUUUAAAAAGUCAGGAUUAAAAGUUAAGCACUUUGAAUGGAUUAAAAGUUAAGCACUUUGAAUGGUCAAGAUAAACCCAUAAAAAGAGUUAAUUUUAAUGGGAACAUACAAAUAUAUAAUUUCGUAAACUAAUUUAACUUUCUUGGUAAUUUGCUCUUCCAACACAACCCGACCCGCUUUGGACCUGAAACUAUUCCCGUUACCCAACCAGCCUGACCCACCCAGG